AUUAUCUUUUCCAUAAUGGCAAAACAGCUGUGAGAAUAAAGAAAAUCAGUCAUGGAAAGAUUAGUAGUAUUUCAUACUCCUGGUAUCUGCACUGAAGGUAGUCAAUCACCCCUUUUUAAAGGCAGCAAACAGUAGUCAAUACAGGUAGCUGCAGGAAGCAGGGUGAUCUUUUAUCUCCACAGAAGAAAAUUGAAAGCUCCAGCUGAGUAAAAUGAUGAGGAAAUGGAAACAGAAUUGCUGGGUGAGACAAAUCCAGGAAUAAAGAGGCACAUUUCAAGAUUAAAUACAAACUAUAGUUUAAGAAAAUGCUUUGGAAAAGUCUGUUUUAAAAUACGAAGAACAGUGUGAGUCCAGCUUAAAUUUGUAAAAGGGUUUUGUGUUGCAGGAGAUUUGUCCAUAAAUUCCAUACAGACUUGCACUAAACUUCAUACUUGCCAACAUAUCUUCUUAUAUUUGUACCUUGGUUUUAGCAACUGAAUCCACAACUGCUCAUGUUAGCAGUCUUCUAUGCCUUGCAAAAAGAGUUAAUGCAAUUUUCUUAAGCUGGAAAAUGAUCUGAUGUAUUUAGGAAAAGCCCAUGGAUUAUUUUUUUUCAGCCUAAAAUGUCAUUGCUUACAUCUGAAUUCAAAUUAACCUCUGAGCAUUGAUGGUUUAACAUCUAUUUUCCUCUUUUGCUUUGACUCCAUAGGAGCAUACAAGGAUACAGGUGUGAGG
rnacentral:lncRNA from 1 species